GGGGGGAUACUCAAGCGGUCAACGAGGUCAGACUGUAAAUCUGAUGGCUCAGCCUUCGAAGGUUCGAAUCCUUCUCCCCCCA
rnacentral:tRNA from 1 species